AAACUCUACGUGUCAUAAUCUCUUAUGGUCCUUUCAUACGUAAUUUCAAUAUUUAAGCAAAAAUCAUAAAAAUUUCUCUCACUACAAUCAUCAAAGAUCUACAUCAUAAUGAUCCUAAUGUCUAUCCACUUACACUCAUUCUAUAUCUAAUUCUAUGUAUCACUCAUUCUAUAUCUAAUUCUAUGUAUCAUAAUUUAUCCACUUAUGCUCUGAUAUCACUUUAAUUGUUACGCCCUCGACUUAAGCUUGUGAGGCGAAGAUCAUGGCAACCGUCGCAUACUCAUAAGGAACUCUUCUCACAAACAUGCAAGACAUCUUAUCAGGCUAUCAUAAAACAACAGCAGAAUAAUUAGUCAAUA
rnacentral:lncRNA from 1 species